AAGUAAGAAAUGAAGCCCCAGAGCGACAAAACAAGAGAAAUCACUUUCUCAACUCGUAAUUUUUCGUGGUAGAACAACACAGCUAAAGCCUCUGUCACAGGCAGCAGACCAGAAAUUAUAAUACCAGAGAGCAACGAGGAAUGACAGAAAAUGACACCGACUGCUCCCAUGAAGAAGAAUUGCCAAAACACUGCAGUACACACCAUUACCACGUAAUAUUUUGCUCUCCCAAGCUCAAAGUCUCUUGCCUCUCUUGGAAUUGCCUGCAUCAAGCCAUGCCACUUAAAAUAUCUAUUUUAGAUUUCAGUCUUAAAUGAUAUUCAAAAUUAUCAUAAUGCUAAGGUAACCAUUUGAUAUGUAUGGAAGCCUCAAGUUCAGAUAUAUGAAAUUUUCGCCAAUUAUGAUUUCAUAUCCUAUUCUAUGUUAUGAUAUUGAAAUUGAACUAGAGGAUGAGUAUUGUUUUAUCAAAAGAAACUUCCAUUGAAAACACGUUUUGA
rnacentral:misc_RNA from 1 species